AGAGUUUGAUCAUGGCUCAGGACGAACGCUGGCGGCGCGCUUAACACAUGCAAGUCGAGCGAGAACCGGGGCUUCGGCCCCGGGGACAGCGGCGAACGGGUGAGUAACACGUGGGUAAUCCACCCUCGGCACCGGGAUAGCCCGGGGAAACUCGGAUUAAUACCGGAUAGCCCCUCCGACUCUCGAGUCGGUCGGGAAAGGUAGCUUAGGCCUCUGGCCGGGGACGAGCCCGCGGCGGAUUAGCUUGUUGGUGGGGUAAUGGCCUACCAAGGCGACGAUCCGUAGCUGGUCUGAGAGGACGAUCAGCCACACUGGGACUGAGACACGGCCCAGACUCCUACGGGAGGCAGCAGUGGGGAAUCUUGCCCAAUGGGCGAAAGCCUGAGGCAGCGACGCCGCGUGAGGGAAGAAGGCCUUAGGGUUGUAAAGCUCUUUUACCCGGGAUGAUAAUGACAGUACCGGGAGAAUAAGCCCCGGCUAACUCCGUGCCAGCAGCCGCG
rnacentral:rRNA from 1 species